rnacentral:rRNA from 1 species
UACAGAGGGUGCGAGCGUUGUCCGGAAUCACUGGGCGUAAAGGGCGCGUAGGUGGUUGGGGAAGCGUGUGGUGAAAGCCCGGGGCUCAACCCCGGGUCGGCCAUGCGAACUGCCCGACUGGAGCACGAUAGAGGCCAAUGGAAUUCCGGGUGUAGCGGUGGAAUGCGUAGAGAUCCGGAAGAACACCGGUGGCGAAGGCGGUUGGCUGGGCCGUGGCUGACACUGAUGCGCGACAGCGUGGGGAGCAAACAGG